rnacentral:snRNA from 1 species
GGAAGUUAGCAUGGCCCCUGCGCAAGGAUGACACGUGAAUUUGUGAAGCGUUCCGUGUUUUU